rnacentral:rRNA from 1 species
AUCAGCAUCAGGAGAACAGUCUGGAAAGGCUGGCCGCAGCAGGUGAUAGCCCUGUAUCCGAAGGUGUUGGUAGUGUGAGUUCGAUGAGUAAGGCGGGACACGUGUUAUCCUGUCUGAAUAUGGGGGGACCAUCCUCCAAGGCUAAAUACUCCUGACUGACCGAUAGUGAACCAGUACCGUGAGGGAAAGGCGAAAAGAACCCCGGCGAGGGGAGUGAAAAAGAACCUGAAACCGUGUACGUACAAGCAGUGGGAGCACC